UACGUAGGGACCAAGCGUUGUUCGGAUUUAUUGGGCGUAAAGAGCGUGUAGGCGGCCAGGGAGGUCCGUUGUGAAAACUCGAGGCUCAACCUCGAGACGCCGAUGGAAACCCCCUGGCUAGAGUCCGGAAGAGGAGAGUGGAAUUCCUGGUGUAGCGGUGAAAUGCGCAGAUAUCAGGAAGAACACCCGUGGCUAAGGCGGCUCUCUAGUACGGUACUGACGCUGAGACGCGAAAGCGUGGGGAGCGAACAGG
rnacentral:rRNA from 1 species